rnacentral:rRNA from 1 species
GAUGAACGCUGGCGGCGUGCCCAAUACAUGCAAGUCGAGCGAAUGGAUUAAGAGCUUGCUCUUAUGAAGUUAGCGGCGGACGGGUGAGUAACACGUGGGUAACCUGCCCAUAAGACUGGGAUAACUCCGGGAAACCGGGGCUAAUACCGGAUAACAUUUUGAACCGCAUGGUUCGAAAUUGAAAGGCGGCUUCGGCUGUCACUUAUGGAUGGACCCGCGUCGCAUUAGCUAGUUGGUGAGGUAACGGCUCACCAAGGCAACGAUGCGUAGCCGACCUGAGAGGGUGAUCGGCCACACUGGGACUGAGACACGGCCCAGACUCCUGCGGGAGGCAGCAGUAGGGAAUCUUCCGCAGUGGACGAAAGUCUGACGGAGCAACGCCGCGUGAGUGAUGAAGGCUUUCGGGUCGUAAAACUCUGUUGUUAGGGAAGAACAAGUGCUAGUUGAAUAAGCUGGCACCUUGACGGUACCUAACCAGAAAGCCACGGCUAACUACGUGCCAGCAGCCGCGGUAA